AUUGAACGCUGGCGGCAUGCCUUACGCAUGCAAGUCGAACGGUAACGGGCCUUCGGGUGCCGACGAGUGGCGAACGGGUGAGUAAUGUAUCGGAACGUACCUUUCAGUGGGGGAUAACGUAGCGAAAGUUACGCUAAUACCGCAUAUUCUGUGAGCAGGAAAGCAGGGGAUCGCAAGACCUUGCGCUGAUUGAGCGGCCGAUAGCAGGUUAGCUAGUUGGUGAGGUAAAGGCUCACCAAGGCGACGAUCUGUAGCGGGUCUGAGAGGAUGAUCCGCCACACUGGAACUGAGACACGGUCCAGACUCCUACGGGAGGCAGCAGUGGGGAAUUUUGGACAAUGGGGGCAACCCUGAUCCAGCCAUGCCGCGUGAGUGAAGAAGGCCUUCGGGUUGUAAAGCUCUUUCGGCCGGGAAGAAAUCGUAUCAGCUAAUACCUGGUGCGGAUGACGGUACCGGCAUAAGAAGCACCGGCUAACUACGUGCCAGCCGCCGCCGUAAAAC
rnacentral:rRNA from 1 species